GAUCCUGGUCAGGACGAACGCUGGCGGCGUGCUUAACACAUGCAAGUCGAACGAGAAUCUGAUGAAGGAGUUUUCGGACAACUGAUUCAGAGGAAAGUGGCGGACGGGUGAGUAACGCGUGAGGAACCUGCCUUGAAGAGGGGGACAACAGUUGGAAACGACUGCUAAUACCGCAUGAUGCAUAGGGGUCGCAUGAUUCUUAUGCCAAAGAUUUAUCGCUUCAAGAUGG
rnacentral:rRNA from 1 species